CUGGCUCAGGACGAACGCUGGCGGCGUGCUUAACACAUGCAAGUUGAACGGUAUGACAUGGAAGCUUGCUGAAGUGUCAUAUAGUAGCGGACGGGUGAGUAAUGCAUGAGAAGCUGCCAUUGGGAGGGGGACAACAGUUGGAAACGGCUGCUAAUACCCCGUAUGCCGGAGGGUGAAAGGGAGUAAUCCGCCCGAUGAGGUGCUCAUGUCCUAUCAGCUGGUUGGUGGGGUAACGGCCUACCAAGGCGACGACGGGUAGCCGGCCUGAGAGGGUGAACGGCCACACUGGAACUGAGAUACGGUCCAGACUCCUACGGGAGGCAGCAGUGGGGAAUAUUUGGGCAAUGGGGGCAACCCUGACCCAGCGACGCCGCGUGGGGGAAGACGGCCUUCGGGUUGUAAACCUCUUUUGUACGGGAAGAAGGAAGUGACGGUACUGUACGAAUAAGUCCCGGCUAACUACGUGCCAGCCGCCGC
rnacentral:rRNA from 1 species